rnacentral:rRNA from 1 species
AGCGGAGGAAAAGAAACCAACAGGGAUUGCCCCAGUAACGGCGAGUGAAGCGGCAACAGCUCAAAUUUGAAAUCUGGCCCCAGGCCCGAGUUGUAAUUUGCAGAGGAUGCUUUUGGCGCGGUGCCUUCCGAGUUCCCUGGAACGGGACGCCAUAGAGGGUGAGAGCCCCGUCUAGUAGGAUACCCAGCCCAUGUGAAGCUCCCUCGACGAGUCGAGUAGUUUGGGAAUGCUGCUCUAAUGGGAGGUAUACUCCUUCCAAGGCUAAAUACCGGCUGGAGACCGAUAGCGCACAAGUAGAGUGAUCGAAAGAUGAAAAGCACUUUGAAAAGAGAGUCAAAUAGCACGUGAAAUUGUUGAAAGGGAAGCGCUCGCUACCAGACUUGAGUUAGGCGGUUCAACCGGGGCCACGCCCCGGGGCACUCCACCUGCUCAGGCCAGCAUCAGCUUUCCGUCGGGGGCAAAGGCGUCGGGAAUGUGGCUCUCCUCCGGGAGAGUGUUAUAGCCCGGCGUGUCAUACCCUUCGGGGGGCUGAGGUACGCGCUUCUGCAAGGAUGCUGGCGUAAUGGUAGCUAGUGACCCGUCUU